ensembl:snoRNA SNORA70 Small nucleolar RNA SNORA70
CUGCAGCCAAUGGAGCCGACCGUGCUGGGGCCUCCUCCCCGUGGCGCCCGGUGUGCAGCGGCUGCAAACAGCAGCCUCCUGGGCAGUGUGCAGCCUGUUGCUUGUACAGGCUGCCCUAAGGGGCCCUGGAGACAGCC